rnacentral:rRNA from 1 species
GCGUACCCCUCAACCCCCGAUCUUGUCUGAUCGCGCGGGCUUGGACCGUGGCCGCACCGGCCGGCGCAUACUGAGCGUCUGGCCCGGCCGAAUGCAUGCCAAGCGCCUUUACUUUGUGC